rnacentral:rRNA from 1 species
GCACAAGCGGUGGAGCAUGUGGUUAAUUCGAUGCAACGCGAAGAACCUUACCUGGGCUUGACAUCCCUGGAAUCCCCUGGAAACAGGGGAGUGCCCUUCGGGGAGCCAGGAGACAGGUGCUGCAUGGCUGUCGUCAGCUCGUGUCGUGAGAUGUUGGGUUAAGUCCCGCAACGAGCGCAACCCUUGUCUUUAAUUGCCAUCAUUCAGUUGGGCACUUUAAAGAGACUGCCGGUGUUAAACCGGAGGAAGGUGGGGAUGACGUCAAGUCCUCAUGGCCUUUAUGCCCAGGGCUACACACGUGCUACAAUGGGUGGUACAAAGAGAUGCAAUCUCGCAAGAGCAAGCAAACCUCAAAAAGCCAUCCUCAGUUCGGAUUGGAGUCUGCAACUCGACUCCAUGAAGUCGGAAUCGCUAGUAACCGCGAAUCAGCAGGUCGCGGUGAAUACGUUCCCGGGCCUU